CACUCCUGCGGGAGGCAGCAGUGGGGAAUAUUGGACAAUGGGCGCAAGCCUGAUCCAGCCAUGCCGCGUGAGUGAUGAAGGCCCUAGGGUUGUAAAGCUCUUUCACCGGAGAAGAUAAUGACGGUAUCCGGAGAAGAAGCCCCGGCUAACUUCGUGCCAGCAGCCGCGGUAAUACGAAGGGGGCUAGCGUUGUUCGGAAUUACUGGGCGUAAAGCGCACGUAGGCGGAUCGAUCAGUCAGGGGUGAAAUCCCAGGGCUCAACCCUGGAACUGCCUUUGAUACUGUCGAUCUGGAGUAUGGAAGAGGUGAGUGGAAUUCCGAGUGUAGAGGUGAAAUUCGUAGAUAUUCGGAGGAACACCAGUGGCGAAGGCGGCUCACUGGUCCAUUACUGACGCUGAGGUGCGAAAGCGUGGGGAGCAAACAGGAUUAGAAACCCCAGUAGUCCCAU
rnacentral:rRNA from 1 species